CAUUCCAUACCAGUUUCAGAAUCGCUGUCUGCCUGGAGCAGAGAAGACCACUGUGGACUUGUCACUUCUUCGUCCAUCAGUGUAUGUCUCAACUUUGGCUCAGGCUCUCACCUCAGCUUCUAUUGCUCCCACACGUGAGAUGAAGAAGAUGAAACAUUUUUGUGCCUAGCUAUUGACAGGCUGGAAGAUGGCCUUCAUAUGACAUAAAACCAACCAUAGAAGAAGAAUAAAGGAUCCAUUUAUUGGAGAUGUCAAGUGAAAAUAUGUUUGGCAACCUGACCUCAG